CCAGAGUGCUAGGAUUACAGGUGUGAGCCACUGCGCCCGGCCCCUAAUAAGCUUUUUAGGUGAUUCUGAUGGAACACUAAAAUAUUUGGAAACCACUGUUCUCAACCUACCUCCUAAUAUCCCCACCUUCCUGUCUCUGCCCCCCACACACCUACAGUAUAAUAUACUCCUAAAUUUUGGUUUCAAGAAUAGCAAAGACUAUACUUUCAGGGAUCAUUUCUAUAGUUCGUUACUAAAGAAGUUUCUCUGAAUGUGUAGAACACCAAAAACCACGAGGAGGCUCUGGUUGCGCAGUAGUGCUAGCGGCUUCUGUGUUCCGUCCUUGAGCCCGGCAGCCGCCGCCCGUGCUGAGCUGCUAGGAAUCCCAGCAGCGAGCUCGUAGGAGCUUGAAACCAUAGUCGCGCCUCCGACUCACAAAAACGGUUGAAGCAGAUCGCCCAGGAAAGUUCUUCAUUGAUGGGCUUAAUACAGAAACAAAUGAGAAAGCCCUUGAAGCGGUAUUUGGCAAAUAUGGACGAAUAGUGGAAGUACUCUUAAUGAAAGACAGAGAAACCAACAAAUCAAGAGAAUUUGCUUUUGUCACCUUUGAAAGCCCAGCAGAUGCUAAGGAUGCAGCCCGAGACAUGAAUGGAAAGUCUUUAGAUGGAAAAGCCAUCAAAGUGGAACAAGCCACCAAACCAUCAUUUGAAAGUGGUAGACAUGGACCACCUCCACCUCCAAAAAGCAGAGGCCCUCCAAGAGGUAUUAGGGGUGGAAGAGGAGGAAGUAGAGGAACCAGGGGACCUUCCUCACGGGGAAGGCACAUGGAUGAUGGUGGCUUUUCCAUGGAUUUUAACAUGAGUUCUUCCAGAAGAACUAGAGAAGUAAAAAGAGGACCACCACGAAGUGGAGGUCCUCCUCCUAAAAGAUCUGCCCCUUCAGGACCAGUUCGCAGCAGCAGCGGAAUGGGAGGAAGAGCUCCUGUAUCACGUGGAAGAGAUAGUUACGGAGGCCCACCUCGAAGGGAACCCCUGCCCUCUCGUAGAGAUGUUCAUUUGUCCCCAAGAGAUGAUGGAUAUUCUACUAAAGACAGCUAUUCGAGCAGAGAUUACCCAAGUUCUCGUGAUACCAGAGAUUAUGCACCACCACCAAGAGAUUAUACUUACCGUGAUUAUGGUCAUUCCAGUUCACGUGAUGACUAUCCAUCAAGAGGCUAUGGUGAUAGAGAUGGAUGUGGCCGUGAUGGUGACUAUUCAGAUCAUCCAAGUGGAGGCUCCCACAGAGAUUCACAUGAGAGUUGUGGCAGCUCACGUAGUGCUCCACCUACAGGAGCCCCGCCACCUUAUGGUGGAAGCAGUUGGGCGAUUACAGCGGCUCACCUGACGGAUAUGGUGGAAGUCGAGACAGUUGCUCAAGCAGCCGAAGUGAUCUCUACUCAAGUGGUCGUGAUCGGGUUGGCAGACAAGAAAGAGGGCUUCCCCUUCUGUGGAAAGGGGGUACCCUCCUCCACGUGAUUCCUACAGCAGUUCAAGCCGCGGAGCACCAAGAGGUGGUGGCCGUGGAGGAAGCUGAUCUGAUAGAGGGGGAGGCAGAAGCAGACACUAGAAACAAACAAAACUUUGAACCAAAAAUCCCUGUUCAAAGAAAAAAAAACAAAAAGUGGAAACUAUUAUCAUAACUACCCAAGGACUACUAAA